GACGAACGCUGGCGGCGUGCUUAACACAUGCGAGUCGAACGGAAAGGCCCUGCUUUUGUGGGGUGCUCGAGUGGCGAACGGGUGAGUAACACGUGAGUAACCUGCCCUUGACUUUGGGAUAACUUCAGGAAACUGGGGCUAAUACCGGAUAGGAGCUCCUGCUGCAUGGUGGGGGUUGGAAAGUUUCGGCGGUUGGGGAUGGACUCGCGGCUUAUCAGCUUGUUGGUGGGGUAGUGGCUUACCAAGGCUUUGACGGGUAGCCGGCCUGAGAGGGUGACCGGCCACAUUGGGCCUGCGAUACGGCCCAGACUCCUACGGGAGGCAGCAGUGGGGAAUAUUGCACAAUGGGCGGAAGCCUGAUGCAGCAACGCCGCGUGCGUGAUGACGGCCUUCGGGUUGUAAACCGCUUUCGCCUGUGACGAAGCGUGAGUGACGGUAAUGGGUAAAGAAGCACCGGCUAACUACGUG
rnacentral:rRNA from 1 species